GUUUGAUCCUGGCUCAGGAUGAACGCUGGCGGCGUGCCUAAUACAUGCAAGUCGAACGAAUCUUCUUCGGAAGAUGAGUGGCGAACGGGUGAGUAAUACAUAGGUAACCUGCCCCUGUGCGGGGGAUAACAGGAGGAAACUCCUGCUAAUACCGCAUAGCCAUGAGCACCGCAUGGAGCUCAUGCCAAAUAUCCUUUACGGGAUAGCGCAGGGAUGGACCUAUGGCGCAUUAGCUGGUUGGCGGGGCAACGGCCCACCAAGGCAACGAUGCGUAGCCGGCCUGAGAGGGCGGACGGCCACAUUGGGACUGAGACACGGCCCAGACUCCUACGGGAGGCAGCAGUAGGGAAUUUUCGGCAAUGGGGGAAACCCUGACCGAGCAACGCCGCGUGAGCGAAGAAGGCCUUCGGGUCGUAAAGCUCUGUUGUAAAGGAAGAACGUCGGACACAGGAAAUGGUGUGCGAGUGACGGUACUUUACCAGAAAGCCACGGCUAACUACGUGCCAGCAGCCGCGGUAAUACGUAGGUGGCGAGCGUUAUCCGGAAUCAUUGGGCGUAAAGAGGGAGCAGGCGGCCGCAAGGGUCUGUGGUGAAAGACCGAAGCUAAACUUCGGUAAGCCAUGGAAACCGGGCGGCUAGAGUGCGGAAGAGGAUCGUGGAAUUCCAUGUGUAGCGGUGAAAUGCGUAGAUAUAUGGAGGAACACCAGUGGCGAAGGCGACGGUCUGGGCCGCAACUGACGCUCAUUCCCGAAAGCGUGGGGAGCAAAUAGGAUUAGAUACCCUAGUAGUCCACGCCGUAAACGAUGGUCACUAAGUGUCGGGGGUCAAACCCCGGUGCUGCAGUCAACGCAAUAAGUGACCCGCCUGAGUAGUACGUUCGCAAGAAUGAAACUCAAAGGAAUUGACGGGGG
rnacentral:rRNA from 1 species